AAGAUGCUAAGUUAAUAAACUACAGGUCUUCAAAACCUGAAAUGAAGCGAUUGUUUCGUGUCUUG
rnacentral:tRNA from 1 species